UCAAAUUUUGUGAGUUUAAACUCCACUAAGCAGGUAGAAACAGUCACACCUUUUGCACCUUCAUACACACACACAUACUGCAGCAACAUAAAUGGCUCAGACUCGCAGUGGCACUACGUCACUGCACAGAACUGCAGUGCAGACUUAUAUAGGAGGUCAGCACUCGAUCCAUACCAAAUUCAAAGCCGGUUUUCCUUUAUCUUAAACCCAUGAUCGAC